CUUCCAGGUUUACUCGUUUAUGUGCAUAGAGUUGUUUGUAAUAUUCUCUGAUGAUGGUUUGAAUUUCUGUGGAAUCUGUGGUGAUUUCCCCUUUAUCAUUUUUUAUUGCAUCUAUUUGGUUGUUCUCUCUUUUAUUUUUAAUCAAUCUGGCUAGUGGUCUGUCUAUUUUGUUGAUCUUUUCAAAAAACCAGCUCUUGGAUUUAUUGACUUUUUGAAGGGUUUUUCGUGUCUCAGUCUCCUUCAGCACAGCUCUGAUCUUAGUAAUUUCUUGUCUUCUGCUGGGUUUUGAGUUUUUUUUAUCUUGCUCCUCUAGCUCUUUCAAUUUUGACGAUAGGGUGUCAAUUUUGGAUCUCUCCAUUCUCCUAAUAUGGGCACUUAUUGCUAUAUACUUUCCUCUAGAGACUGCUUUAAAUGUGUCCCAGAGGUUCUGGCACAUUGUGUCUUCAUUCUCAUUGGUUUCGAAGAACUUCUUUAUUUCUGCCUUCAUUUCGUUGUUUACCCAGUCAACAUUCAAGAGCCAGUUGUUCAGUUUCCAUGAAGCUGUGCGGUUCUGGGCAAACAAGAUAUCAUCUUAGAUGAUAUAUCCCAUGUCUGACUUAUCCUUAGAUACGUCAGAGUAUAUCUAAGUGUGUACAGACAUGAGCAGCAUUUCAAAGACAGAUCGGAAGGGUGUGAUGACAGAUUUAAGACUUAAGGCCAUGAACAGAAUGUCAGAGCACUCUCAAGUAUCACCUCUGGGUUCUCAAUUAUGAUGUCAGUUGAGACUCUUGACAAAUCAGGUGCCUGAAUGUAUUUUCCCUCCUAGUUGCCCACAGCUCAUGGUGGUAAGACUUCAGAAUUACGUAAAACUUGCAGUGAGAUCUUCCUCUAGGUUUGAUGUCAUCUGCAGAUGGAGGUCUAAGCAGAAAACACAAGCAUAGUGACUGUAUCAGCUCAGAACCUCCACCUUUACCUGGGCAUAGUGCCCACCAUGGUAUGGGAACAGUGGAAGUGAUGACUUGGCUGGAACAGUUUUCCUGGAUGCCUGGAAUGACUGACAAUGCAUGCAUGUGCAUCGGGUCUUCAGAAGAGCCAGUUGGAGGUGUUGAAGACUGAUGGCCUGAGGUCAAAGUGAAGAGACUUACAAUGUAAAACGACUUUAAGAUCAAGGCAUAUGGCUAGUUCUAUGUACACCAGUCCCCGGUGUUAGAAUGCCAUGACAAAAGGCCAAUAGCACACCUCAUCUUCCACCAGUCCACAGGGGAGCCUGGAACAACCCUUCCACAUCAGAUGGAAGCUGGGAUCCUGAUGACACACCAGAGAUGAGAAAGCUUCUUCUUCACUCCGUCACAAGAACAAGCCACCAUCAAAGGAUGAGAAGGGAGAAGGGGUGGAAUUUUUGAGGGACUGCUCCUAAAAAAAGAUUAAAUGAUAAACUUUGAUUUUUAUCCAAAU
rnacentral:lncRNA from 1 species